GGACUACCAGGGUUUCUAAUCCCGUUCGCUACCCAUGCUUUCGCGUCUGAGUGUCAGUUGGAUGCCAGUAAAUCGCCUUCGCCACUGGUGUUCUUCCGCAUCUCUACGCAUUUCACCACUACACGCGGAAUUCCAUUUACCUCUCAUCCACUCUAGAUCGACAGUUUUGGUCAACCUCUCCCAGUUUAGCCAGGAGCUUUCAUAACCAACUGAUCCAUCCACCUGCACGCGCUUUACGCCCAGUAACUCCGGAUAACGCUCGCCUCCUACGUUUUACCGCGGCGGCUG
rnacentral:misc_RNA from 1 species